rnacentral:miRNA from 1 species
UAAUGAAGAAAUGUUUCA